GCUGACGAGUGGCGGACGGGUGAGUAAUGCUUGGGAACUUGCCUUUAGGUGGGGGAUAACAGUUGGAAACGACUGCUAAUACCGCAUAAUGUCUACGGACCAAAGGGGGCUUCGGCUCCCGCCUUGAGAGAGGCCCAAGUGAGAUUAGCUAGUUGGUGGGGUAAAGGCCUACCAAGGCAACGAUCUCUAGCUGUUCUGAGAGGAAGAUCAGCCACACUGGGACUGAGACACGGCCCAGACUCCUACGGGAGGCAGCAGUGGGGAAUAUUGCACAAUGGGGGAAACCCUGAUGCAGCCAUGCCGCGUGUGUGAAGAAGGCCUUCGGGUUGUAAAGCACUUUCAGUUGUGAGGAAAGGUUGGUAGUUAAUACCUGCCAGCUGUGACGUUAACAACAGAAGAAGCACCGGCUAACUCCGUGCCAGCAGCCGCGGUAAUACGGAGGGUGCGAGCGUUAAUCGGAAUUACUGGGCGUAAAGCGCACGCAGGCGGCUUGUUAAGCUAGAGGUGAAAGCCCCGCGCUCAACGUGGGAACUGCCUUUAGAACUGGCAGGCUAGAGUCUUGGAGAGGGGAGUGGAAUUCCAGGUGUAGCGGUGAAAUGCGUAGAUAUCUGGAGGAACAUCAGUGGCGAA
rnacentral:rRNA from 1 species